GUCCCGUCGAGACCCCUGCGCUCAGCCCAAGACCUACUCCUAUCCUCUGCCCGGAUCCCCACCUCUGAUGCUCGCCUUCAAGACUUCUCCAGGGCUGCACCUAUUCUGUGGAACUCACUUCCCUCCUCAAUCAGACUUUCACCCAGCCUCCAUUCCUUCAAAAAAUCUUUAAAAACUCACUUCUUCAUUAAAGCGUAUCAAUUAAACUGUCAGCAGGUUUCUCAUCCCCCACCCCAUGACUCCGUUCCUUCACCUGUCAAAAAUGACCUACCAAGCACUCAAUAAACCCUUCUGUAACAAACUAUUUAAUUCCCCUACUUUAACCCUUUG